AAUGAAGAUGCUGGCUGGCUGACUCCUGCAUAAGGGAUUAGGGCAGCAUAGGGAUGAGCCAGUGUUUAAAAUGAUGGAUGGUAGGGGUUGAGGCAUGCAGCUACCAAGUUCAGGAGUGCCCGCCAGUCCUCUUUCUUAUAACAUACCAAUACUUUCAUUUAGUAUCUAUCAAUAUGGCCAUUACUUGUUGCCAGACCCCUGCAGGGUGUGGGAGCCAGGCGGCCAUUCAUCACUUCCCGCUCGUCCUUCCCCGACCAGGGCCACUACGGGGGCCACUGGACGGGCCACGUGUGCUCCCACUGCUUCAACAUGUGGCACUCCACCGCAGAUCCCUCCAGUAGGCUGAGAAGAAGCUCCAGAGCCUGGCCCCGGAGAUGGAGGGGCAGCGGUGGGCCAGGAAGCCCUCCGGCUCUGAGACGUGUGGCGCCACAACCAACAACUCCGCGUGCAGGGCGGGCUUAGAGAAAGGCUUUACACAGACCCUGGAUAAUGCUCCUGGUCUUGUUCCUCUUCUUGUUCUUCUUCUUCUUCCUCUUUACCUUAGUCAUGCUGCAUUAUGAAUCAUGUUAAUUAAUAUAUCCUCUUCUUCUUUACCUUAGUCAUGCUGCGUUAUGAAUCAUGUUAAUUAAUAUAUCCUUUUCUUCUUUACCUUAGUCAUGCUGCGUUAUGAAUCAUGUUAAUAUCAGACAUGGGGUAAUCGUAAUCAAUUACAAUCGAUUACAGUUUUUCAAGUAAUCUUAAUCGAUUACCCUCUUAUUUUUUUAAGUAAUCAUAAUCAUAAUCGAAUACAUUAUAAAAGUACAACUGUAAUCGUGAUUACUUUUGUGAUUACAUUAUCAAAGUUUAGUUAAUGGUUUCUCGUACAGCAAGUGUGUGCUCUAAAUAUCUGUAGUAAUUCAACCAAUUAAAUAUUCAGCAUGGUACAUGUGUGAAAUUUGCAAGUUCACCUUUCAGUCCUUCCUGUGAUCAUGAUUGUAACCACGAUUAAUACAUCAUGUAAUCGUAAUAGUACUUGAUUACACAUAAUUUUAUUGUAAUUGUAAUCGUAAUCGUGAAAAUAUGAAGUAAUCAUAAUCGUAAUCGAUUACAUAACAUAAGUAAUUGCUCCGUGUCUGGUUAAUAUACAGUAAAAUCUUGCUAACUUCUCUUCUCUCCUCCUUACCCUCCUCCCUUCCCCUCUCCCCUCCCUCCCCCAAUACAUUCCCUACACAUUUAUCCUCCUCCCCAGCCUGAGCACCUCACCACAGAGCUGUCCAAGAUGCCUCACGUCCAAGAAGUCCCAGGUUUACAAGUGGAAGGGCCUGCUCAAGGAACUCCGCUGCUCUCUCCUGGACGGAAGGAACCAGGAGAUGGAGAGGAGAAGAAGAAGAAAAAGAAGAGGAAGAAGACUUAGGAACAAAGAACCCCGACAAAAGAUGAAGAAGAAGAAGAUGAAAGAGAAGAAGAAGAUGAAAGAGAAGAAGAAGAAGGAGGAAGUGAAGAAGAAAAGUUUGUCUUUCAAUAAUAAUAAUAAAAUAUAUGUUGAAAGAAAUCAGUUUAAAUUUUGUCCAUAUAACACACACACACACAUAUACCCUCUCCUUC